rnacentral:rRNA from 1 species
AGUGAACGCUGGCGGUAGGCCUAACACAUGCAAGUCGAACAGCAGCACAGUAAGAGCUUGCUCUUACGGGUGGCGAGUGGCGGACGGGUGAGGAAUACAUCGGAAUCUACUUUUUCGUGGGGGAUAACGUAGGGAAACUUACGCUAAUACCGCAUACGACCUACGGGUGAAAGCAGGGGAUCUUCGGACCUUGCGCGAUUGAAUGAGCCGAUGUCGGAUUAGCUAGUUGGCAGGGUAAAGGCCCACCAAGGCGACGAUCCGUAGCUGGUCUGAGAGGAUGAUCAGCCACACUGGAACUGAGACACGGUCCAGACUCCUACGGGAGGCAGCAGUGGGGAAUAUUGGACAAUGGGCGCAAGCCUGAUCCAGCCAUACCGCGUGGGUGAAGAAGGCCUUCGGGUUGUAAAGCCCUUUUGUUGGGAAAGAAAAGCAGCAGGUUAAUACCCCGCUGUUCUGACGGUACCCAAAGAAUAAGCACCGGCUAACUUCGUG